rnacentral:tRNA from 1 species
GGGGUUGUAGCUCAGUGGUAGAGAGCUUGCCUAGCAUGUGUGAGGUACUGGGUUCCAUCCUUAGCAACACCU